UACGUAGGUGGCAAGCGUUGUCCGGAUUUAUUGGGUUUAAAGGGUGCGUAGGUGGGCAGGUAAGUCAGUGGUGAAAUCUCCGGGCUUAACUCGGAAACUGCCAUUGAUACUAUCUUUCUUGAAUACCGUGGAGGUCAGCGGAAUAUGUCAUGUAGCGGUGAAAUGCAUAGAUAUGUCACAGAACACCAAUUGCGAAGGCAGCUUACUAUGGUGUCAAUGACGCUGAGGCACGAAAGCGUGGGGAUCAAACAGG
rnacentral:rRNA from 1 species